rnacentral:rRNA from 1 species
GAUGAACGCUGGCGGCGUGCCUAAUACAUGCAAGUCGAGCGAACGGACGAGAAGCUUGCUUCUCUGAUGUUAGCGGCGGACGGGUGAGUAACACGUGGAUAACCUACCUAUAAGACUGGGAUAACUUCGGGAAACCGUAGCUAAUACCGGAUAAUAUUUUGAACCGCAUGGUUCAAAAGUGAAAGACGGUCUUGCUGUCACUUAUAGAUGGAUCCGCGCUGCAUUAGCUAGUUGGUAAGGUAACGGCUUACCAAGGCAACGAUGCAUAGCCGACCUGAGAGGGUGAUCGGCCACACUGGAACUGAGACACGGUCCAGACUCCUACGGGAGGCAGCAGUAGGGAAUCUUCCGCAAUGGGCGAAAGCCUGACGGAGCAACGCCGCGUGAGUGAUGAGGGUCUUCGGAUCGUAAAACUCUGUUAUUAGGGAAGAACAUAUGUGUAAGUAACUGUGCACAUCUUGACGGUACCUAAUCAGAAAGCCACGGCUAACUACGU